rnacentral:rRNA from 1 species
CAAUAGCGUAUAUUAAAGUUGUUGCAGUUAAAAAGCUCGUAGUUGGACUUCAUGAAAUGCAGGUGGGAUAACCAUUUGCUUUCUACCAGUCAUCGACUGUUACUGUGAGAAAAUUAGAGUGUUUCGAGCAGGCUAUUGCAGGAAUACAUUAGCAUGGAAUAACGAAUGUAUCUACAAUUUGGUUGAUUGUAGAAUACGAUUAAUAGGGACAGUUGGGGCAUUAGUAUUUAAUUGUCAGAGGUGAAAUUCUUGGAUUUGUUAAAGACUAACGUAUGCGAAAGCAUUUGCCAAGGAUGUUUUCAUUAA